AGUUUUAGGAUGAGAAGUCAUUACGUGAUUCCGUGAAGUUAUAUAAAUGCAUCCACCUGGAGGUUAUUCACUGCAGGAUUCCAGGAUUGGAAAUAACAGUAGAGAGGAUCGGGUCCAGCUCUCCUUCAUCUUAUAUAGAUAAGGAAAUUGACAGCCCGUGAGGCUACCCGUGGAACAUAAGCAAUGGAUUCCUUGGACCAUAUGCUGACGGAUCCCUUGGAGCUGGGCCCGUGUGGAGAUGGCCACGGCACGCGGAUCAUGGAGGACUGCCUCCUGGGGGGCACUAGGGUUAGUCUGCCCGAGGACCUUCUGGAGGAUCCUGAGAUCUUCUUUGACGUAGUCAGCUUCUCAACGUGGCAGGAAGUACUGAGCGACUCGCAGCGUGAGCACCUCCAGCAGUUUCUGCCCCACUUUCCUGAGGACAGUAUCGGGCAGCAGGAGCAGCUCAUCCUCGCCCUGUUCAGUGGGGAGAACUUCCGCUUUGGAAACCCUCUGCACAUCGCCCAGAAGCUUUUCCGAGACGGACACUUCAACCCCGAGGUGGUCAAGUACAGGCAGCUGUGCUUCCGGUCGCAGUACAAACGCUACCUCAGCUCCCAGCAGCAGUACUUCCACCGGCUGCUGAAGCAGAUCCUGGCCUCGCGGAGCGACCUCCUGGAGAUGGCCCGGCGGAGCGGUCCCGCCCUCCCCUCCCGGCAGAAGCGCCCCUCACCGUCCCGCACCCCCGAGGAGCGGGAGUGGCGCACCCAGCAGCGCUACUUGAAGGUCCUGCGGGAAGUGAAGGAGGAGUGUGGGGACUCGGCCCUGUCAUCGGACGAGGAGGAUCUCAGCUCGUGGCUCCCGAGCUCUCCAGCGCGCUCUCCUAGCCCUGCGGUGCCCCUCAGGGUGGUGCCCACGCUUUCCACCACGGACAUGAAGACUGCAGAUAAAAUAGAACUGGGGGACAGUGACCUGAAGAUAAUGCUAAAGAAGCACCAUGAGAAGCGGAAACACCAACCAGAUCACCCAGACCUUUUGACGGGGGACCUGACUCUCAAUGACAUCAUGACUCGAGUAAAUGCCGGCAGGAAGGGCUCUCUAGCAGCACUAUAUGACUUGGCUGUCCUUAAAAAAAAGGUUAAGGAAAAAGAGGAAAGGAAGAAGAAGAAAAUAAAAAUGAUCAAAUCAGAGGCAGAGGAUCUGGCGGAACCCCUAAGCGGUACUGAAGGGCUCCCACCCCUCUCACAGGCACCGUCUCCACUGGCCAUACCCGCUAUCAAGGAGGAGCCUCUCGAAGACCUCAAGCCUUGCCUUGGAAUCAAUGAAAUAUCUUCCAGCUUCUUCUCUCUUCUCUUGGAGAUCUUGUUGCUGGAGGGGCAGGCUAGCCUUCCUAUGCUAGAGGAGCGAGUUUUGGACUGGCAGUCGUCUCCAGCCAGCUCCCUCAAUAGCUGGUUCUCUGCGGCCCCCAACUGGGCAGAGUUGGUGUUACCAGCCCUGCAGUAUCUUGCUGGAGAAAGCCGUGCUGUACCUUCCAGCUUCUCUCCAUUUGUUGGCUUCAAAGAGAAAACCCAGCAGUGGAAGUUGCUUGGCCAGUCCCAAGAUAAUGAAAAGGAAUUAGCUGCACUCUUCCAGCUGUGGCUGGAAACUAAAGACCAGGCCUUCUGUAAGCAAGAAAAUGAAGACAGCUCAGAUGCCACAACGCCUGUUCCUCGGGUAAGAACUGACUAUGUGGUGCGGCCCAGCACGGGAGAGGAGAAGCGAGUUUUUCAGGAGCAGGAGCGUUACCGGUACAGCCAGCCCCACAAGGCAUUCACCUUCCGCAUGCAUGGCUUCGAGUCCGUGGUGGGGCCCGUGAAGGGCGUGUUCGACAAGGAGACGUCGCUCAACAAGGCGCGGGAACACUCCCUGCUGCGCUCCGACCGGCCCGCCUACGUCACCAUCCUGUCCCUGGUUCGCGACGCGGCGGCCCGGCUGCCCAACGGGGAGGGCACGCGGGCGGAGAUCUGCGAGCUGCUCAAGGACUCCCAGUUCCUGGCUCCGGACGUCACCAGCACUCAGGUGAAUACAGUGGUGAGUGGUGCCCUGGAUCGGCUGCAUUACGAGAAGGACCCGUGCGUGAAGUACGACAUCGGACGGAAGUUGUGGAUCUACCUGCAUCGGGACCGGAGCGAGGAAGAGUUCGAGCGGAUCCACCAGGCCCAAGCAGCUGCAGCUAAAGCCAGGAAAGCCCUUCAGCAAAAACCCAAGCCCCCGUCCAAGGUGAAGUCUAGCAGCAAGGAGGGUUCGGUGAAGGUCCUCGGCGCUGGCCCUUCCGAGCAGAGCCAGCUGAGCCUCAGCGACUCCAGCAUGCCCCCCACCCCGGUCACGCCUGUGACCCCCACCACUCCUGCUCUGCCCGCCACGCCCAUCUCCCCCCCGCCUGUGCCGUCGGUGAACAAAAGUGGCCCCGCGACUGUCUCGGAACCGGUGAAAUCCACUUCGGGUGUGCUUCUCGUGUCUUCGCCAACGAUGCCGCAGCUGGGAACCAUGCUCUCCCCGGCGUCCAGCCAGACUCCCCCGAGUUCUCAGGCCGCCGCCCGUGUCGUGAGCCACUCCGGCUCGGCUGGACUCCCCCAAGUGCGGGUGGUGGCCCAGCCCAGCCUUCCUGCUGUGACUCAGUCAGCGGGGCCAGCAGCGACGCUGACGCAGAUGACAGCAGGACCGCAGAUUCGCGUGCCGGCCACGGCCGUGCCGACCAAAGGCGGGCCCCAGACAGUAAUGGCCACCGUUCCAGUCAAAGCUCAGACCGCGGCGGCCACCGUGCAGCGACCGGGGCCGGCGGGGCUCACGGUGACAAGUCUCCCUGCCGCAGCCAACCCUGCGAGCAAGCCGGCCACCAGUUCUCCUGGGGGCUCUGCUCCGAACACCCCCGCGGCUGCCGUCAUUCAGAACGUCACAGGACAGAACAUUAUCAAGCAGGUGGCAAUCACCGGGCAGCUUGGCGUGAAGCCCCAGACGGGCAGCAGCAUCCCACUCACAGCCACCAACUUCCGUAUCCAGGGCAAGGACGUGCUGCGGCUUCCUCCCUCCUCCAUCACCACGGACGCCAAAGGCCAGACUGUUCUGCGGAUCACUCCAGACAUGAUGGCCACUUUGGCCAAGUCCCAGGUCACCACAGUCAAACUGACCCAGGACCUCUUUGGGACAGGCAGCGGACCCACGGGCAAAGGCAUCUCCGCUACCUUACACGUCACUUCCAACCCAGUCCACGCAGCUGACAGCCCUGCCAAGGCCAGUCCAGCCAGUGCCCCCUCCUCCACUCCACCAGGGACCACCGUGGUCAAAGUGACUCCUGACCUCAAGCCAACAGAAGCCUCGAGUUCAGCUUUUCGCUUGAUGCCAGCGCUUGGCGUGAGUGUGGCUGACCAGAAGGGGAAAAACACAGUGGCCUCAUCUGAAGCCAAACCAGCCGCCACCAUCCGCAUCGUGCAGGGCCUAGGGGUGAUGCCCCCCAAAGCAGGCCCGACCAUCACGGUCGCAGCCCAUGCCAAGCAAGGGCCCUCCGUGGCCAGUGGGUCUGGAACUGUCCAUACGUCUGCGGUGUCCUUGCCCAGUGUGAAUGCUGCCGUGUCCAAGACUGUGGCCGUGGCUUCUGGGGCUGCCAGCACCCCCAUCAGCAUCGGGACAGGAGCCCCUGCCGUGCGGCAGGUCCCCGUCAGCACCACGGUUGUUUCCACGUCCCAGGCUGGGAAGCUGCCUACGCGGAUCACAGUUCCGCUCUCUGUCAUUAGCCAGCCCAUGAAGGGCAAGGGUGUGGUCACAGCCCCCAUCAUCAAAGGCAACCUUGGAGCCAACCUCGGCGGGCUGGGCCGCAACAUCAUCCUCACCACCAUGCCAGCAGGCACGAAGCUCAUUGCCGGCAACAAGCCGGUUAGCUUCCUCACCGCCCAGCAGUUGCAGCAGCUCCAGCAGCAGGGUCAGGCCACACAGGUGCGCAUCCAGACUGUCCCCGCGUCCCACCUUCAACAAGGAACAGCUUCUGGUUCCUCUAAAGCCGUCUCCACGGUCGUCGUGACCACAGCCCCGUCUCCUAAACAGGCACCUGAACAGCAGUGAUUCUCAGGGAGGAAGACGGUGGCCGCGAAAACCACACCCGGUCAGCCUUCUGGCUGAAAGGGAGGAGCAGGUGGUGCAUCGCCCCCGCCCCCCCACGGGGCACGUCUGUCUGAGAAAGGCCAGCGGAGGGACCAUGGCGGCCCGGCCGCCGCUCGGCGGGGAGUGCGCUGCGCCAGGUGCCCUUUCUGCUGCCUUCCUGUGGGGACGUGGCUGUGAUGUGUCCUGGUGAGACGUGGAGACCAUCCGGAGCUGGGAGUGGUGAGCCUGGAUCAUAAAGAGCAGAGUCCCUGAGGCAACAACAUGUUUUACAUUAAUGGCCAACAGUAGAACUUGCUGAAUAGAACAUGCUUCGUCAGGACUUGCCGAAUGAACAUUUGGGUUCCUACUCAGCAGGCAGGCCAAAGUGGGUCCUGAAAGGGGGCUCCCGGCUUCUCUUCUCAAAAUUCAGUGUCUUCAAGUAGCUCAUUCUUAAUCCCUAAGAUGGGGCUGCGACCCUGAGAUGCCGGCUGACCGUGGGAGGUUGCCUUUCAUGUAAGUACAGCAUUCCUUCCGAAGAGCAUACGUGCUUCACACAGCUGAUCCCUGCCGUGUUGGUGUGAAGUAGCGGAGGGCACAGCGGGAGAGAAGCUGGCCUCUGAGUCCGACUGCAGGCUGGCUUUAGGACUUCGUGGCUGUGUGGCCUUAGGCUGAUCCGCUUCUCUGAAGAGCCCUGAUGUUCUUGCAGUACAGGUGGUUGUGAGAAUCAAACGAGGUAGAAUGCAGUUUAAGGUCUGGGAAAUACUGUACAAUUGAAUGGCACUGUGGGUCCCUGUGACCUUUCAGAUUUGUCCUAACCCACUUCUAUCAGUUUACAGAGCUUGGUUAACUGUCCGCGUUCUUUCGUACUCUCACUGUCUUUGUGCCUGGAUUCUCUGUGCCUGGAAUGUGCUUUUCUGUAGGGCACCCCCCAAACACACACCUUCUCCUCCCCGCCUUCGUUUCCCAUGGUAUCUGUACUUACCCCUUAGGGCACCAGUCGCCCUGCACAUAACUGCUUAUAUCUCUCCCUUUAGACCGAAUUCUUUGCUGGACACAUAUUUCGUUAAUCCUUACAACCAUUUCAGUGCUGGUGCAAAGUAGAUGAUUAAUAAAUAUUUGUUGAAGGAAACGUAAAGAAAAAAAGAACAGGUCCAGAACCAAGAUUCGAGUAUCAAGACUUUAUGUCACUAGUUCAAGAUUCACAUCCUUUGCAGGAUUCUUAUCUUUUGCUUUCAGCUAUGUUGAAAUUCAAGGCCUUCCAUAACCUGACAUUUUUCUCUCUACCGCAUUACAGAGGUUUCCUAUCAGCACCCUCUUACUAGGGUACUUUUGAGAAGUCAGAAUAUCUGGGUUCCAGCUCUCAGCUGGACCGCUCACUGGCUUCCUGAUUUAACCAAAAAAAUCACCUUUGGCCCAACUUCGUCACUUAUCAACAGUGAGUGGUAUUGCAGUACUCUGGAACAUUAUUAUUAGUUAGGAGAUGCUUAGCAAGUAAUGUUUAAAAUACCAAAGCUUGUGAAUUAUUUUACUUUAAAAAAUACGGAUUAGAA